rnacentral:lncRNA from 1 species
GCUCACGGUGAGGAAGCCCCGAGCUCCCGGGACGCAGACAGGGUGUGCAGGGCCGUAGCUCGGGCCUGUGUAUGCACCUGUGCGUGUGUGUUUGAUGCCAGGACAAGGCGGCGGUGUGCGCGGCGAGGAGGCUGCGACAGCUGUAUAGACCCCAGCUGCAGUGAAAUGGCCAUCAAAAAGGGAAGGGAUAAUCGAGUGGUGGAAUAAAAUCUGCAAACAGAAAAAGGACAGACCUGUUUUCGGAACGAGGCUUUUCGAGUUACCACCAUGACUGAAGGCUAAGAGCAACUUGCUUGCGCAUUAAAGAUCACUUGGAGAGAGAGGUCCAGUGAGCAACAACGGCCAGAAAUUUCAGGGAGACCAUCUUGAACCAUCCAGCCUCCACCAGGCCAACAGCUGACAGCUGUCACAUGAAUAUGAUCAGCAGAAGAACCACUCAGGCAAGCCAAGCCCAAAUUGCCAAGCCCCCCAAAUAAUAAGCUAAUUGUUUUUUGUUUUAAGCCAUAAACUUUUGAGGUGGUUAUAUAGCAAUAAAUAACUGAAACAGGUGUUUAACUUUCUACUCCCAUGUCUUGACCAACUUUGCAUUCCCCUCCAGGACCUUAUGGGCACAUGGGUUCCUAUCAUUUCACGGGUAUGUAGACUCAGGAAUGUGGCAUUGACUUCUGGGUGGAGUACAGAUGACUGACACCCCCACCCCGAUUCGGAGGAAUUAUUCAGGGGUGUGAUAUAACACCUACAUACAUUUAUUUAACUAGCCAAUUUGGUCUCCCCUUUUUUUGUUUUGAGACCGAGUCUUGCUCUGUCGCCCAGGCUGGAGUGCAGUGGCGUGAUCUCGACUUACUGCAACCUCCGCCUCCCAGGUUCAAGGGAUUCUCCUGCCUCAGCCUUCCGAGUAGCUGAGACUACAGGUGCCCACCACCAUGUCCGGAUAAUUUUUGUAUUUUUAGUAGACAUGGGGUUUCGCCAAGUUGGCCAGGCUGGUCUCAAACUCCUGACCUCACGUGAUCUGCCUGCCUCAGUCUCCCAAAGUGUUGGGAUUACAGGCAUGAGCCACCUCGGCCAGCCGGGUCUCCCUUUUUACAUCUGUUUUCCCCUUUCCAGUUCAAAUUCUGUAUUCUGGGAACAUCUUACUUUCUUCACCCUGAUUGAUUAGGGAAACUUCAGGGUUCUUAGGUAACUUUCUGAAGGACUGGUUUAAGAUUCCUAGAGUUGGAAAUGGGCGUCUCUCCUGUGUUAUUUCUAAAGUGUUAUCAUCCUAAUCCUUCAGAAUACUUUCUUGACUUCUUUCUGCUUGAUGAUUAAGGAAUGGUCUCAAUUCUCCAUAGCCACAUCAGACCAAAAUUCCAUUUCUUUGCCUAUGUGAAGGGUUUAUUAUUAAUUACCCUAUUAAUUUAUGUCCAAACCAGAUGUGAUUUCCUUCUUGGAGCAAUAGUUCGUGAAGAGGUUGGUUAACAGCAGUUCUGUGCCCAGGUAAAUGAGAGGCAACUGAUAAGAGGAACUCGUUGUGUAUAAAAUCUUAGGAUUCUAGAUUUAGGACCUUUAAGGCAGUAUUUGAAUUAGUGCUCUGGAAUGUCUAUGAAGAAAGUUUGGGUCUCUUCAGCCAGAAUUCAGACCAUUUCAACAUUGCAUUCCAUGUAUCAUACACAUAUCUCCUUUUAUUAUUAUUUUUUCUGCUCUCAAAGCAGAUUUCUCUCAUUGUAAAAUUAGUAGAUUCUUAAUUCAGAAGAUUGGAGAAUAUUAAAAAAAGCUUAAAGUAAAGCACUUUGAACACUUUAUUCCAAAUCACUUCACCUCAUUUGUGAAUAAGUGCAUGGAUAUAGGCUUAUAGGACUUUUUCAUUCAAAACAGGGUUAUAUAACAAUUGUUUUGAAAUCUACUUGUUUCUUCUAACAAAAUAUAGUGAACAAAUUUUCAUGUCACUAAAUUAUGAACUGUGUCAUAAUCUUUUAAUGGCUGCACUGUUCUGUUUGUAUAUGUAAGUUCUUUCCAGCUUUUUCCCAUUAUAUGCAAUGUUUUACUGCAUAUGCCUUUUCUGUGCACAUGUGAAUUGUAUAUUUUGGAUAGUCUUAGAUAUUUUGCUGAGAAUGAGGUUUUCAUAGUUAAAACCUGUUUACACAUCUAUAUCAAUUGCCCUGAUUAAGUUUGCACCAAUAUUCAACAUACUAUGAGAAUGUCUAUUCGCUACUAUAUGGUAUCAUUAGUCUUUUAUUAUUAUUUUAUUUUAUUAUUAUUAUUAUUUGAGACAGAGUCUCACUCUUGUUGCCAGGCUAGAGUGCAGUGGCAUGAUCUCGGCUUACUGCAACCCCCGCCUCCAAGGUUCCAGCAAUUCCCCCACCUCAGCCUCCCAAGUAGCUGGGACUACAAGGCGCAUGUCACCACGCAUGGCUAAUUUUUGGUUUUUAGUAGAGACGGGGUUUCACCAUGUUGGCCAGGAUGGUCUCCAUCUCCUGACCUUGUGAUCCGUCUGCCUUGGCCUCCCAAAGUGCUGGGAUUACAGGCGUGAGCCAUUGCACCUGGCCAUCAUUAGUCUUUUAAAUCCACCAAUCCAGUAGAAAUUAUAUUUAUUUAAAUGAAUUACCCAUGCACAGGUUUCAUUCAGUGUAAUAAAAUAUGGGCUUCAGAAACAAAAACCAGAACUGAAAGAAAAUUGGUUUUGUAGGUAGAAAAAUGUGAUUUAAAAAUGCAGAUAUGCCAUUUAUUUUGAGGGUGUAUAGCUCACCCCUGUAAUCCCAGCACUUUCGGAGGCUGAGACGGGUGGAACACUUGAGCCCAGGAGUUUGAGACCAGCCUGGGCAAUAUGGUGAAACCCCGUAUCUACUAAAAAUACAAAAAAUUAGCUGGGUGUGGUGGUGCACCUGUAGUCCUAGCUACUUGGGAGGCUGAGAUGGGAGGAUCACCUGAGCCCAAGGAUAUUGAGGCUGUAGUGAGCCGUGAUUGUGCCAAUGCACUCCAACCUGAGCGUUGGAGUGAGACCAUGCCUCAAAAAAACAAAAACAAAAAACUCUUAAAAUCGAGGGAAAGACCCAAAAACCCGAUAGAAAAAGUGAGUAAAAGAAAUGAACACAUGAAAUCACACACACACAGACACACACACACACAAAGAGAGAGAGAGGAAGCACAAAUUUUAAAAUUAUAGCGUGCUGGCUUUUUAAAAAAAUAAACCCAGCUGGGUGUGGUGGCUCACGCCUGUAAUCCCAGCACUUUGGGAGGCUGACAUGGGCGGAUCACGAGGUCAGGAGAUUGAGACCAUCCUGGCUAACAUGGUGAAACCCUGUCUCUACUAAAAAUACAAAAAAUUAGCUGGGCGUGGUGGAGGGCACCUGUAGUCCCAGCUACUCGGGAGGCUGAGGGAGGAGAAUGGCGUGAACCUGGGAGGUGGAGCUUGCAGUGAGCCAAGAUGGUGCCGCUGCUCCCCAGCUUGGGCGGCAGAGUGAGACUCCGUCUCAAAAAAAAAAAAUAAUAAUAAUAAUAAUAAUAAAAUAAUAAAAAAAAAACCCAUGCAACCGCCAUUACAGACAUAGAAACUUUCCAACAUCCCAGAAGGCUCCCUCAUAUCUCUUCCCAAUCAUUAUACCUCAAAGUUAACCAUUAGUUUGACCUCUAUAAUAGAAUAGUUUGGUUUGGUUUUGAACUUCAUAUAGGUGGAAUCAUAUAGUAUGUACUCUUGUGUCUGACCUCCUUUGCUCAACAUUAUUUCUAAGUAUAUAGAUACAUAUAGAUAACAUUAUAUCCAUGUUGCUGUACAUAGUAGUAGCUUGUAAUUUAACCUUUUUUUUUUUUUUUUUUUGAGACAGGGUCUCAUUCUGUACUCCAGGCUAGAGUGACAGUGACACUAUCAUAGCUCACUGCCACCUCAAACUCCUAGACUCAAACAAUCCUCCCACCUCAGCCUCAGCUCCCCAAGUAGCUAGGACUACAGGUGCAUACCACCACCACACCCAGACAAUUUAAAAAAUUUAUAGAGAUGGGGUCUCACUAUGUUCCCCGGGCUGAUCUUGAAUUCCUGGCCUCAAGUGAUCCCCCUGUCUCUCAGCCUCUGAAAGUGCUGGGAUGACAAGUGUGAGCCAUAGCACCCACCCUUUAUCAUGUAAUUAUUUUGUUACUUCCCUCUUGUUCACUCUCUCUACAUAUAUCUGGUUGUAUGUCUUAAGUCUUAUACUACUAGAAAUUAGGAGUUAGGUUGAUCAGUAUAUACAAAGUUUCAGUUAUAUGAGAGGAAUAAGUUUUGGUGUUCUGUUGUGUAACAUGAUGACUAUAGUUAAUAAUAUUAAACAUAUGAACUGGGGGGGAACAAAUCAGUCUAUAACAAUUCCCAAUUAAAAAAAAAAAAAAGAAAACUUGGCCAGGUGCAGUGGCUCACACCUUGUAAUCUCAGCACUUUGGGAGGACAAGGUGGGCCAAUCGCUUGAGCCCAGGAGUUCAAGACCAGGCUGGGCAACAUGGUGAAACUCCAUUUCUACAAAAAAAUACAAAAAAUUAGCUGGGUGUGGUUGUGUGCCUGUAGUCCCAGAUACUUGGGAGGCUGAGGUGGGAGAAUCACUUGAGCCCUGGAAGUCAAGGCUGUAGUGAGCCGUGAUUGCACCACUGCACUCCAGCCUGGGCAUCAGCGUGAGACCUUGUCUCAAAGAAACAAAACUCCUCUUAAUGUCAAGGGAAAGACCCAAAAACCUGACAGAAAAGAUGGGUAAGAGAAAUUAACAAUUCACAAAAAAUAUGUAAAAGGGACCCUUAAAUGUGUAAAAAGAGAAAUACAAAUUAAAAUAAUAUGGAGACAGGCCAGGUGAGGUGGCUUACACCUGUAAUCCCAGUGCUUUGGGAGCCUGAGGUGGAAGGAUUGCUUGAGGCCAGGAGGUUGAGAUUACAGUGAGCUAUGAUUGCACCACUGCACUCUAGCCUGGACAACAAGCAAGACCCUGUCUCUUGGCAGGGGGAGAGGGGGAAUACUGAGACCAUUUUUAACCUAUCAAGAUGACAAAAAUUAAAAAAUAUAACAAUGUAUUCUGUUGGUGAGACAGGAUAUAGUCGGCUGACUGAUGACCCUGCAAAAAGAUAUGUCCAUGUCCUAAUCUCUGGAAACUGUGAAUGUUACUUAAUUUGGAAAGAGGGUCUUUGCAGAUGAAAUUAAAUUAAGAAGUUUGAGAUGAGUAGUUCAUCCUGGAUUGUCUGGGUGGGUUGGGUCCUAAAUCCAGUGACAAGCAACCUUAAAAGAGACACAAGGAGACUGGCAGACAGAGGAAGAAGAGGCAGCAAUGUGACCCCGGAGGUGGAAAUCUCAGUGAUGGGGCCAGGAAUGUCAAGGAAUGGUCAAGGAAUGGCUACAGCCACCAGAAAAAGAGGCAAAGUGAGGCUUCUCCCCUAGAAUCUCUAGGAGCGCUCCAGCCCUGCUGAUGUCUAGAUUUUUGGAGUUCUGGCCUCCAGAAUGUGAGAGAGUAAACUAUUGUUUAAAGCUACCAAGUUUGUGGUAACUUGUUAGAGCAGCCACAGGAAUGAAUGUACAGGGAAUCAGGCAGUCUCAUACACUGAUGGUGGGAAAACAAACCGGCACAACCCUUAUGGUGGGAAAUUUGACAACAUGUACAAAAACUACCUACACAUUUCCCUUGUGACCCAGCCAUUCCACUGUUAGGAAUCUGCCCUGAAGAUACAACUCCACCUAUUAAAAAAUACAGCCAUUAGAAUGGAUGAUGUUUACCGCUACUUGCUGACAAAGAAAAAUGUUCACUUGUGUUAAAUGAGAAAGACAGGUCUCAGAACAGCAACAAUGUUCUAGACGAUUCUGUUUUUUAAUACUCAGUAUAUGUAGAGGAGAUUAAAGGGAUUUAUCGUGAGAUGCUCAUAGGGGGCAACUGUUAUUUCAGAUUUCUUUUUUAAAAUUUUUAAUUGACAAGUAAUAAUUGUAUAUAUUUGUACAACAAUUGUAUGUAUUGUAUGUACAAUUGUAUAUUGAUGUAUAUAUUUGUACAAUAAUUGUAUAAUUUAUAUGGUACAAUGUGAUAUUUGUAUGCAUCAAUACAUGAUGGAAUGAUCAAAUCAGGCUGGUUAGCAUAUCCGUUACCUCAAAUAUUUACCAUUUCUUUGUGGUAAGAACAUAUAAAAUCCUAUCUUUUAGCUAUUUUGAAAUAUACAAUACAGUAACUAUAGUCACUGUGUUGGACAAAAGAACAGCAGAAUGUAUUCUUCCUAUCUAAACAAAACUUUGUACCUGUUAACCAGCAUUUCCCCUUUCCCCAUCCACCACAUCCCCACCCCCCAACCUUUGGUAACCACCCUCCUACUCUCUACUUCUAAGAGUUCAACUUUUUAGAUUCCACAUGUAAGUGAGAUCAUACAGUAUUUGUCUCUCUGUGUCUGGCUUAUUUCACUUAACAUAAUAUCCUCUAGGUAUACCCAUGUUGUUGCAAAUGACAGAAUUUCAUGUUUAAGGCUGAAUAGUAUUCCACUGUGUAUAUAUCCUCCAUUUAAAAAAUCCAUUCAUCCAUUGAUGGACACUUAGCUUGUUUCCAUAUCUUAGUUAUUGUGAAUAAUGCUACAGUUAACAUGGGAGUGCAGACAUCUUUGACAUACUGAUGUCAAUUCCUUGUGGGGUUGCUGGCUCAUAUGGUAAUUCUAUUUUUUGUUUUUUGAGGAAGCUCUACACUGUUUCCCAAAAUGGCUGUAGUAAUUUACAGUGCUCGCAACAGUGUUCCUUUUCUCUACAUCCUCACCAACACUAACCUUUCAUCUUUGUUUGUAAUAGCAGGUGUCUAACAGGUGCACGGUAAUAUCUCACUGUGGUUUUUUUGGGGGGGAUGGAGUCUCGCGCUGUCGCCCAGGCUGGAGUGCAGUGAUGCAAUCUCGGCUCACUGCAAUCUCCACCUCCUGGGUUCAAGCGAUUCUCCUGCCUCAGCCUCCCAAGUAUCUGGGACGACAGGUGCGUACCACCAUGCCUGGUUAAUUUUUUGUAUUUUUAUUAGAGACGGGGUUUCACCAUCUUAGCCAGGAUGGUCUCGAUCUCCUGACCUCAUGAUCUGCCCAGCUCGGCCUCCCAAAGUGCUGGGAUUACAGGCGUGAGCCACCGCGCUCGGCCCCUCAUCGUGGCUUUAAUUUGCAUUUAUCUGAUGAUUAGAGAUGUUUAGCAUUUUUCGUAUAUGUGCUGGCCAUUUGUAUGUCUUCUUUUGAGAAAUGUAUACAAGUCCUUUGCCCAUUUUUAAUAGGGUUAUUUGUAUUCUUUUUUUUUUUUUGAGACAGAGUCUCACUCUGUCACCUAGGCUGGAGUGCUGGAGUGCAGUGGGCGAUCUCGGCUCACUGCAAGCUCCGCCUCCCAGGUUCACACCAUUCUCCUGCCUCAGCCUCCUGAGUAGCUGGGACUACAGGCACCCACCACUACGCCUGGCGAAUUUUUUGUAUUUUUUAGUAGAGAUGGGGUUUCACCUAACCCCAAGGAUGGUCUCAAUCUCCUGACCUCAUGAUCCACCCACCUUGGCCUCCCAGAGUGCUGAGAUUACAGGCGUGAGCCACCGCACCCGGCCAGUUAUUUGUAUUCUUGUUAUUAAGAAGUGUGAGUUCCUUUUACAUUUUGAAUAUUAGCCCCUUAUCCAAUAUAUGAUUUGCAAGUAUUUUCUCCUAAUCUUUGGGUUGUCUCUUCAUCCUAUUGUUUCCUUUGCUAUGUGGAAUAGGAUUCUCUGUUUUCUUAAUUUUAAUGCUCAGUGUGUAUUUCUUUUAUAAUUAGAAACUCUAUAAGGCUAAUCCUUCCCUCCUUAAAACUGGAAGAAUUAUAGAAGGAGCUAUGGGCACACUGACACAGAGGCAUGAUGGUGAGGUGUCUUUGGGAACUCAGACUGAAGGGACCUCAGUUCUCUCCACUGGCCACUGAGGGAAAAGUUUCUCAAACAAUACCUUGAAGUUUUGACUCUUCAUAUCAGCUGAGCAUUUAUCUGCAAUGGCUUCCCUCUUCUUUGAGCCACCUUAACACAUUACUCUCCACACAUUCACGGCUAUCUCCUUUUCUUCAAUGGGGAAAUCACAUCUGGCUUAGAGAUAAAAGGUCCUGUAUAUAGGAAAAGAAAUUGGACUUAGGCCUGUUGUGGUGAUGUCAAUUCAGGGAGAGGAAAAUAUGAGACAGAGGAAGAUAAAGUCACUUUAGGUGUCAAGAAAAUGAAGCCUCAAUAAUAAAAACACAGUUGAGUGUUUGCAGCUAUAAAAAUGUCAGAUCAGUUCUUCCAAGGCUCUCAAGAGACUCACAAUGAAAGAAAAUACUCCCAGCAAGCAGAUUAUAAAUAAUAAAGGAAAAUAUUCUUUAAAAA